rnacentral:lncRNA from 1 species
AUUUACUUGUUCUUCUUCCUGCUCCAUGCUUGUGAUGUUCAUGCGACAAUGUGUUUCUUCCUGGACAUAUUUAUGUUCUUGUUCGAAUCGGUACAAUGCAAUUGUUGAUGUAAGUUGCAUCCGGUGCAUUUCCUGCGUACCUUAAAUUUCUUGAUAUCGCAAUGAGCAUCUUGGAUUUGUAUUGUAUUUGGUCUCUGCCGUGUUGCUGCUUGCUUCAUUUGCAAUGCCAAUGCCCAAUACUAGCAGAGCUGGAAAUGCUCAAGAAGAAAAUGGUAAGAAGUAAAGAUUCAAGAACAUUGCUGGUUGCUGCUAUACAUUGUCAGCCUGUCAUGUGCAAUGCUAUUUAUGUCCUAUUGAUUGACAUGGUUAGUGGUAUGACAUGAUUAUUUGGCCUAAUGAACAUGCUUGUUAUGAGACGACAUUAGCUGUACUAGAUUAACUUCUUGCUAAUUUUCUUUGCCGUAGUUAUGAUUCGCCAGUAGAAUGACACUGAUUUUCUAUGGCCUCUUAGUUGGAUGAGAUAAAAAGAGAUGAGUAUGAUGAGAUUAAUUUCUUGCCUGUUUCUGCUGGAUGCCAAAAUUGCAAGCUUUGAUUCCCGAUUUAAUGGCGGCGAUGGCCGCAGAUAAAUCCCAGCUUGGUGGAUCCCUCUCGAUCGAUCGAGUUCCGGG